GCUGAACUAGUUUCAAAACCAAAAUCAAUUCUGCGAAGCAUAUCUCCAUUGGUUAGUCCCUCAAAACUCGUGGAACCUGGAAUUUGAGCAGAAAUAUCACUGUUUUCUUCAUCGACAAGGGGUGAUUGUUGAUUCAAAAACAGAAGGAACUUCGUUCGGGCUUGUUGAAGACAUUGGAUGAAACAGAAAUUGAUCCGGAGAGUUGAUUGAGGCCUGAAUUAUAGUUGAACCAGAGUUAGCAUCCUUGGUUACGGAACCUGGACUAGCUACACAGAUACCAGCAUUGACAACUGGCGUUUCCUUGACCACGAGCAAAUCUUGAUCUUCGUUGGAGAACGUCAUAGUUGAAGCCUCAAAACACCUGCAAGAGGAUGAUUGAUUCCAAGUCAAUAAUACUAGUUUGAUGUUUCAAGUUCUUAAAAACACUAGUUAUGUAUGGUUAGAUGAGUAAGAAUAUCAAAAAUAGUCCAAAAGCAAAUGAUAAAACAACAGAAA